CAGCCGUAAACUAUGCUCGCUAGGUGUCAGGCAUGGCGCGACCGUGUCUGGUGCCGCAGGGAAGCCGUGAAGCGAGCCACCUGGGAAGUACGGCCGCAAGGCUGAAACUUAAGGAAUUGGCGGGGGAGCACAACAACGGGUGGAGCCUGCGGUUUAAUUGGACUCAACGCCGGACAACUCACCGGGGACGACAGCAAUAUGUAGGCCAGGCUGAAGACCUUGCCUGAAUCGCUGAGAGGAGGUGCAUGGCGUAGACGUCU
rnacentral:rRNA from 1 species